rnacentral:lncRNA from 1 species
GCUGCACAGUUAGAGAGUCCCUUCACCAGCUGAGUAAAUAUGUGACCUUGAGCCAGAUUGAAAUUGGUAAACUGGAGACCAAGAGGAUGUGGCAAUGGAUAGUCUAUUAAAUAAAGAAAACAUUUCAAAGGACUAAAUUAGAUGAAGCCAGAGACAGAUUUGUGAUAUCUCAUCCUUCUCCCAUAAACAAUAAGAAGUCAGGUAAGUCCCUCAAGCAGAGUGCAUUGAAGGUGACAGAACAGAGAUCUUGCAGAGACCUCAUCAAACGCAGACAGUAUUCAGUAUUAAUUCAGUGUCCAUUUUGAUUAUUUGCAGUCAGGUGGGAAAUGAAGCUUGAAUGACGACUUUAUUUAGUAAGUCAUAGGCUACUGAAAAUGUUAUGAAAUUAUACAACCCACAUGGAGAACAGUGGGGAUUUUUAUUAGCAAUGCUUGAUAAGAUACAGUGGAAAUGUGAGUAAUUCUCAUUA